rnacentral:tRNA from 1 species
GCCGAUAUGGUGGAACUGGUAGACACGCUGGUCUUAGAAACCAGUGCCUAACAAGCGUGGGGGUUCGACUCCCUCUAUCGGCA